rnacentral:rRNA from 1 species
UGGCGAACGGGUGAGUAACACGUGGGUGAUCUGCCCUGCACUCUGGGAUAAGCCUGGGAAACUGGGUCUAAUACCGGAUAGUACCAUGCUUUAGUGUGUGUGGUGGAAAGUUUUUUCGGUGUAGGAUGAGCCCGCGGCCUAUCAGCUUGUUGGUGGGGUAAUGGCCUACCAAGACGGCGACGGGUAGCCGGACUGAGAGGUUGGUCGGCCACAUUGGGACUGAGAUACGGCCCAG